GAUGAAGAACGCAGCGAAAUGUGAUAAGUAGUGUGAAUUGCAGAAUUCAGUGAAUCAUCGAAUCUUUGAACGCACAUUGCGCCUUCUAGUAUUCUGGGAGGCAUGCCUGUUUGAGCGUCAUUAAACCUCUCUCAAGUAUGAUUACUUGGAUGUGAAGGAAGAGUACCUUAAACUUAAGGAGUGUUCUCCUUUGAAAUUGAUUAGCAGAUGGUAAUGUUAUUAAAUCCCUGAUGUUGUAAGAAAUAACAGUGGUUUUGUAGACUAUUAUCUAGCUUUAAAUUAUAAUUUUUAUUAUGGUUGACCUCAAAUCAGGUAAGGAUACCCGCUGAACUUAAGCAUAUCAAUAAGCGGAGGA
rnacentral:misc_RNA from 1 species